UCAGGAUGAACGCUAGCUACAGGCUUACACAUGCAAGUCGAGGGGCAGCAUGGUCUUAGCUUGCUAAGGCCGAUGGCGACCGGCGCACGGGUGAGUAACACGUAUCCAACCUGCCGUCUACUCUUGGACAGCCUUCUGAAAGGAAGAUUAAUACAAGAUGGCAUCAUGAGUCCGCAUGUUCACAUGAUUAAAGGUAUUCCGGUAGACGAUGGGGAUGCGUUCCAUUAGAUAGUAGGCGGGGUAACGGCCCACCUAGUCUUCGAUGGAUAGGGGUUCUGAGAGGAAGGUCCCCCACAUUGGAACUGAGACACGGUCCAAACUCCUACGGGAGGCAGCAGUGAGGAAUAUUGGUCAAUGGGCGAGAGCCUGAACCAGCCAAGUAGCGUGAAGGAUGACUGCCCUAUGGGUUGUAAACUUCUUUUAUAAAGGAAUAAAGUCGGGUAUGGAUACCCGUUUGCAUGUACUUUAUGAAUAAGGAUCGGCUAACUCCGUGCCAGCAGCCGCGGUAAUACGGAGGAUCCGAGCGUUAUCCGGAUUUAUUGGGUUUAAAGGGAGCGUAGAUGGAUGUUUAAGUCAGUUGUGAAAGUUUGCGGCUCAACCGUAAAAUUGCAGUUGAUACUGGAUAUCUUGAGUGCAGUUGAGGCAGGCGGAAUUCGUGGUGUAGCGGUGAAAUGCUUAGAUAUCACGAAGAACUCCGAUUGCGAAGGCAGCCUGCUAAGCUGCAACUGACAUUGAGGCUCGAAAGUGUGGUAUCAACAGGAUAGAU
rnacentral:rRNA from 1 species